rnacentral:rRNA from 1 species
CCCCUAGAUGUUCUGGGCCGCACGCGCGCUACACUGAACAGUUCAACAAGUCUUAACCUUGGCCGAUAGGUCUGGGUAAUCUUUGAACGCUGUUCGUGAUUGGGAUAGACCUUUGCAAUUAUGGGUCUUCAACGAGGAAUUCCUAGUAAACGCAAGUCAUCAGCUUGCAUUGAUUACGUCCCUGCCCUUUGUACACACCGCCCGUCGCGCCUACCGAUUGAAUGGUCCGGUGAAAUCUCGGGACGGCGGCUUGGUCGCUUGCGUCCGACUGCUGAAACUUGAUUAAACCAUNUNAUUUAGNGGAAGGUGAANUCGUANCA